AAGUCGUAACAAGGUUUCCGUAGGUGAACCUGCGGAAGGAUCAUUACCGAUUUUAGCGAACCUGACCUUUGGUUAUGGUAUCGCGAAAACAUUGUAUUUAAAACCCCACUCUUAUAAAUUGAAUCAUUUUAUUAUAUGUAUAAUAAAUAAAGAUCACUUUCAACAACGGAUCUCUUGGCUCUC
rnacentral:misc_RNA from 1 species